AAGGCGCGCGAGCCGAGCCGAGCCGAGCCGAGAGGCGGCUCUGUGGCCGCAGGCGCAGGCCCGGGCGACAGCCGAUACGUGAGGCGCGCCGGCCCGCGGCAGCUCCGGGACUCAACAUGCGCUGCUCGCAGGGAGGCGUCUGGCUGGCUCUGGCCGCGUCGCUCCUGCAUGUGUCCCUGCAAGGCGAGUUCCAGAGGAAGCUUUACAAGGAGCUGGUCAAGAACUACAACCCCUUGGAGAGGCCCGUGGCCAAUGACUCGCAACCGCUCACCGUCUACUUCUCCCUGAGCCUCCUGCAGAUCAUGGACGUGGAUGAGAAGAACCAAGUUUUAACCACCAACAUUUGGCUGCAAAUGUCUUGGACAGAUCACUAUUUACAGUGGAAUGUGUCAGAAUAUCCAGGGGUGAAGACUGUUCGUUUCCCAGAUGGCCAGAUUUGGAAACCAGACAUUCUUCUCUAUAACAGUGCGGAUGAGCGCUUUGACGCCACAUUCCACACCAACGUGUUGGUGAAUUCUUCUGGGCAUUGCCAGUACCUGCCUCCAGGCAUAUUCAAGAGUUCCUGCUACAUCGAUGUGCGCUGGUUUCCCUUUGAUGUGCAGCAUUGCAAACUGAAGUUUGGAUCCUGGUCUUAUGGAGGCUGGUCCUUGGAUCUGCAGAUGCAGGAGGCAGAUAUCAGUGGCUAUAUCCCCAGUGGAGAAUGGGACCUAGUGGGAAUUCCCGGCAAGAGGAGUGAAAAGUUCUAUGAGUGCUGCAAAGAGCCCUACCCCGAUGUCACCUUCACAGUGACCAUGCGCCGCAGGACCCUCUACUACGGCCUCAACCUGCUGAUCCCCUGUGUGCUCAUCUCUGCCCUUGCCCUGCUGGUGUUCCUGCUUCCUGCAGAUUCCGGGGAGAAGAUUUCCCUGGGGAUAACAGUCUUACUCUCUCUCACUGUCUUCAUGCUGCUCGUGGCUGAGAUCAUGCCCGCAACAUCUGAUUCAGUACCAUUGAUAGCCCAGUACUUCGCCAGCACCAUGAUCAUCGUGGGCCUCUCGGUGGUGGUGACGGUGAUCGUGCUGCAGUACCACCACCACGACCCCGACGGGGGCAAGAUGCCCAAGUGGACCAGAGUCAUCCUUCUGAACUGGUGCGCGUGGUUCCUGCGCAUGAAGAGGCCGGGAGAGGAUAAGGUGCGCCCGGCCUGCCAGCACAAGCAGCGCCGCUGCAGCCUGGCCAGCGUGGAGAUGAGCGCCGUGGCGCCGCCGCCCGCCAGCAACGGGAACCUGCUGUACAUCGGCUUCCGCGGCCUGGACGGCAUGCAUUGCGCCCCGACCCCCGACUCCGGGGUGGUGUGCGGCCGCAUGGCCUGCUCCCCCACGCACGACGAGCACCUCCUGCACGGUGGGCAGCCCCCCGAGGGGGACCCGGACCUGGCCAAGAUCCUGGAGGAGGUCCGCUACAUCGCCAACCGCUUUCGCUGCCAGGACGAAAGCGAGGCGGUCUGCAGCGAGUGGAAGUUCGCCGCCUGCGUGGUGGACCGCCUGUGCCUCAUGGCCUUCUCGGUCUUCACCAUCAUCUGCACCAUCGGCAUCCUGAUGUCGGCUCCCAACUUCGUGGAGGCCGUGUCCAAAGACUUUGCGUAACCACGCCUGGUUCUGUACAUGUGGAAAACUCACAGAUGGGCAAGGCCUUUGGCUUGAGGGGACCACGAAUGAUGCUUCUAAGGGCAUUUCUAGAAAGGAAGAAAAGAAGAUAAGAGGCCAAAGGAGGAGGAACGGGGGUUAUGAAGAGACCUUCCCUUUCCAGCGCUAGCGCUCUGUGAAGUGCGCUGCACCUUGCAUUCUUCACAUGGUUUUGUCUUAGAGGUCAUCCCAUAGUAACACAUAAAGAUCUACCUCAUGCCUCCUAGUAGCUGCUUAGCAUUCCAUUGUCUCAGUGGACUAUCAUUUAUUUGAAUAGCCUUUUACUGGCGAACAUAUGGAUAUUUCCAGUUUUUAUUUUUAUAUACAAAUCUAUAAUUGGCAUACUUGUACAUAUAUCUUGACAUUGUUUUGUGACUAAAACUUGGUAUGAAUUCCAACUUAGAAAUGAAAUUACUGGGUUUAAGGUUACAUGUAUUUAAAAUUUUGAUAGAUAUUGCCAGAUCAUCUUCUAGAAACUGAUCAAUGGAUGUAACUCCAUCAAGAGUACAAUAAAAGGCCCAAUUUCUCAACUUUCUAUAAUAGCACUGGGCAUUUUCAAACUUAAUGUUUUUCCCAAUAUAAUUGGUGACACAUGAUAUUUAGGAAUAUUAUUCUGAUUUUGGUUUAUUUUAUUGUGUAUAAAAUGGGACAUCUUUUCAAAUUUUUUGUAAUUUUACUCUGGAUACAUUUAUAUAUUUUACCCAGUUCCUAAAUGGGUUAUUUGGCUUUUUCUUAAUUAAUUUGCUCAUGUACUUCGGGACAUUUUUGUCUUAUGCCUUUAAAAUAUUUUUGUUUAUCAUUUGUCUUUGGAUGUUAUUUAUUGAUUUCCUUAUUUAUUGGCAUAGAGUUUAAAUAUUUAUGUUGUCAAUUUAUCAGUAUUUUUCUUUGUCAGUUGUGGGAUUUGUUUCCAGUUUUUAAAAGCCUUCCUCAUUCUGAGAUGAUAAAUAAACUUACUCACAUUUUCUUCUGAAACUUUAUGGUUUUAUUUGUUUACCUUCGGACUCCCUGGAAUUCAUUUAUUGCAGGAAAUGAGGGAAAAAUCCAUACUUUUUCUUCCAAAUGGUGGUCAGUUGUAUCAAUAACUAUGUAAUAAUGCAUUUCUAAAAUCCAGUCAUAGUGUUUUCCCCAGCUGUUCAAAAUGCAGCCUUAUUUGUAAACUAAAUUUCUUUAAGUGUUUGGUUCUAUUUCUGUUCUAUUUAUCUCUAUGAAUGCCUUUAAUUUCUAAAGCAUUAUUCAUACUCAUAUCAGUAUUUUCAAGUCAACACUUCCUUCAACUCAAUCUCUCAUAUGAAUCUUUUUUUCAAUUAGAGUCACAGUGAAUUUACAGAUUGAGUCUUCCUAUUCAACAGCACGAAAUCUUGUGUUUAAGUCUAAUUUUAUAUAACUUAGUAGUGUUUUAUGAUUUUGUUCAUGAAGGUGCUUUGAAUUUAUAGUUGUUUAUUUCCAGAUGUUUUAUCAUUUGGCUACCAUUUUCAAUGGAAUGAUUUAUUCCACUUUAUUUUCUAUUUUAUCCCAUUGUAUAAGAAAGUAGUUGGUUUUUAUGUAUGAAUGUUAUAAUCAACCACAAACUGUGAUUCCUACUUGUUUCUAAGAUUUACUUCUGACUUCUUUCCAAUGUGUCUCUUAUUUCUUGUAUCUAGUUGCAUUUGAGAUCAGUGUUGAGUCAGUGAUUCAGGUGGCAUGCUUAUCUUGUUCUCGACAUCAGUGGGACGUUGUAAUGUCUCAACGUUUAACUUGUAUGAAGACAUGUAUUUUCCUUGCCAUAAUAAAAAAGUAUCUGUGUGUUCUCAAACUA